GUUUAAUUAAAGUUAAUUAAGAUAAAAAAAAUGUAAAGAAACUGCUUAGUUGAAACAUCAAAUCAAAUACAUACAGCAAUGAACAUUAU